rnacentral:rRNA from 1 species
GACGAACGCUGGCGGCGUGCUUAACACAUGCAAGUCGAACGGAAAGGCCCUGCUUUUGUGGGGUGCUCGAGUGGCGAACGGGUGAGUAACACGUGAGUAACCUGCCCUUGACUUUGGGAUAACUUCAGGAAACUGGGGCUAAUACCGGAUAGGAGCUCCUGCUGCAUGGUGGGGGUUGGAAAGUUUCGGCGGUUGGGGAUGGACUCGCGGCUUAUCAGCUUGUUGGUGGGGUAGUGGCUUACCAAGGCUUUGACGGGUAGCCGGCCUGAGCGGGUGACCGGCCACAUUGGGACUGAAAUGCGGCCCAGACUCCUACGGUAGGCAGCAGUGGAGAAUAUUGCACUGUGGGCGGGAGCCUGAUGCAGCAACGCCGCGUGCGGGAUGACGGCCUUCGGGUUGUAAACCGCUUUCGCCUGUGACGAAGCGUGAGUGACGGUAAUGGGUAAAGAAGCACCGGCUAACUACGUG